rnacentral:rRNA from 1 species
GACGAACGCUGGCGGCGUGCUUAACACAUGCAAGUCGAGCGGUAAGGCCCUUUCGGGGGUACACGAGCGGCGAACGGGUGAGUAACACGUGGGUGACCUGCCCUCAGCUCUGGGAUAAGCCUGGGAAACCGGGGUACUAAUACCGGAUAUGACUCCAUGACGCAUGUUGUGGGGUGGAAAGCCUUGUGCGGCUGAGGAUGGGCCCGCGGCCUAUCAGCUUGUUGGUGGGGUGAUGGCCUACCAAGGCGACGACGGGUAGCCGGCCUGAGAGGGCGACCGGCCACACUGGGGACUGAGACACGGCCCAGACUCCUACGGGAGGCAGCAGUGGGGAAUCUUGCGCAAUGGGCGAAAGCCUGACGCAGCGACGCCGCGUGAGGGAUGACGGCCU